rnacentral:rRNA from 1 species
GAUGAACGCUGGCGGCGUGCCUAAUACAUGCAAGUCGAGCGAACGGACGAGAAGCUUGCUUCUCUGAUGUUAGCGGCGGACGGGUGAGUAACACGUGGAUAACCUACCUAUAAGACUGGGAUAACUUCGGGAAACCGGAGCUAAUACCGGAUGAUAUUUUGAACCGCAUGGUUCAAAAGUGAAAGACGGUCUUGCUGUCACUUAUAGAUGGAUCCGUGCUGCAUUAGCUAGUUGGUAAGGUAACGGCUUACCAAGGCAACGAUGCAUAGCCGACCUGAGAGGGUGAUCGGCCACACUGGAACUGAGACACGGUCCAGACUCCUACGGGAGGCAGCAGUAGGGAAUCUUCCGCAAUGGGCGAAAGCCUGACGGAGCAACGCCGCGUGAGUGAUGAAGGUCUUCGGAUCGUAAAACUCUGUUAUUAGGGAAGAACAUAUGUGUAAGUAACUGUGCACAUCUUGACGGUACCUAAUCAGAAAUCCACGGCUAACUACGUG